UACGUAGGGCGCAAGCGUUGUCCGGAAUUAUUGGGCGUAAAGAGCUCGUAGGUGGUUUGUUACGUCUGCUGUGAAAACCUAGGGCUUAACCCUGGGCCUGCAGUGGAUACGGGCAGACUAGAGGUAGGUAGGGGAGAAUGGAAUUCCCGGUGUAGCGGUGAAAUGCGCAGAUAUCGAGAGGAACACCGGUGGCGAAGGCGGUUCUCUGGGCCUUACCUGACACUGAGGAGCGAAAGCGUGGGGAGCGAACAGG
rnacentral:rRNA from 1 species